rnacentral:rRNA from 1 species
AUACGUAGGUGGCAAGCGUUAUCCGGAUUUACUGGGUGUAAAGGGCGUGUAGGCGGGACAGCAAGUCAGAUGUGAAAAUUAUGGGCUCAACCCAUAACCUGCAUUUGAAACUGUUGUUCUUGAGUGAUGGAGAGGCAGGCGGAAUUCCGUGUGUAGCGGUGAAAUGCGUAGAUAUACGGAGGAACACCAGUGGCGAAGGCGGCCUGCUGGACAUUAACUGACGCUGAGGCGACGAAAGCGGUGGGGAGC